rnacentral:lncRNA from 1 species
AUGUUACCCAAGUACCAUCAGCAGUACCAUCACCAGUUGUUCAGUCAUCCCUCUGUCGUCAUCAGCUCGGCUGCAUCGGCCGACUCGACUUCGGCCGUCAAUUACAGCAGUUCCCACGUGGCUAACAAUUCCUCCAACUCGUCUAGUUCCCCGCCCUCGUCCCUAGUUAGUGCGGCUUCCAGGAUGUACCCCUACGUCCACCACAAUCAGGCCCAGGUGGCGGCAGCUUUCGCGGGGGGCGGCCCCGGGUCCAUGGGGGCCUUUUCCUCGCAGACCUCGGCCAAUUUGGCGGCGGCCCUCGACGCCGUCUCCGGGGACAAAUCGUGUCGCUACACCGGGAGCAUCCCCAGCCGGACUCGAUGGUCUACAACCCCCUGCAGAACGGUUCGUCGGCGGCCAUUUCGGCCACCCCCUCGUCCAUCGUGUCGCAGUUUUACCAGGCCUCGGCCAUGGACCACCUCUCCACGUGCACCACCCCCGCCAGCUCGGGCACCACCGGACAGCAGAUGGGUGACAUUCCUAGGUACCCGUGGAUGCAUUUAUCAGCGGCUGAACUUCGAUCACGGGACCUCUCCACAGCAAGUUCACUAUCCUGUCCAAUCGACCAAAGAGGCCUGCUAUCGUAUUUUGAGAAAGAAUGGAUAAAUCCUUUUGAUCGAGUCGUAUGUGGUGAGUACUGAUUUCAUUAUUCUUCUUUCUAUUCUCCCUCUUUCCUAUCUCCAACUCUUGGUUUUUUUCAUGAAAAUUCCAAAAAAUUAACUCUUUUAAAGUUAUGUUGCGUUUGCUGUUAGUUUUCCUAUGUUUCUUCUCUUGACGUUAUAUUUUGAUUUUAUCUCUUCUUUAAAAAACGCGUCUCUUCGCCGGACCUUGUAAUGUUCAGCUAGGUCCUUUUACUCUCCUAAAAAGUUAAUUUGAAACAAAAAGGAGUAUAAAGGUACAAAUUGCAGGUAUUUAAUGGUGUUACUUUGAUGAAAUCUGGGUUGUCCAUUUACCUUCUUUUUUUUUUGUGGAACAAAACGCAUCGACCUUUUUAAGUUUCCAAUUCUAGUUUGAACGGCUCCAUGCAGAUUUUAUCGUGAUCCCUAUUCCGUCAUCAAACAUUCCUUGCGCCAGCUUGUCCCAAAGAGCUGUAAAAUAUAAAAUAAAAUAAGUGAAUAAUUGAAUUAUACUGAAGUAGAC